UUUUGCAGUCUUCUGUUAGUUUUGCAUAGUUGCACUACAGGAAGAAUGUAGUUGUGCAAAUCUAUGCAAAACUGAUUGUGGCCUGUUAUU
ensembl:miRNA microRNA 19a